CUGAUGCAGCAACGCCGCGUGAGGGAUGACGGCCUUCGGGUUGUAAACCUCUUUUAGUAGGGAAGAAGCGAAAGUGACGGUACCUGCAGAAAAAGCACCGGCUAACUACGUGCCAGCAGCCGCGGUAAUACGUAGGGUGCAAGCGUUGUCCGGAAUUAUUGGGCGUAAAGAGCUCGUAGGCGGUUUGUCGCGUCUGCUGUGAAAUCUGGGGGCUCAACCCCCAGCCUGCAGUGGGUACGGGCAGACUAGAGUGCGGUAGGGGAGAUUGGAAUUCCUGGUGUAGCGGUGGAAUGCGCAGAUAUCAGGAGGAACACCGAUGGCGAAGGCAGAUCUCUGGGCCGUAACUGACGCUGAGGAGCGAAAGCAUGGGGAGCGAACAGGAUUAGAUACCCUGGUAGUCCAUGCCGUAAACGUUGGGAACUAGAUGUGGGGGCCAUUCCACGGUCUCCGUGUCGCAGCUAACGCAUUAAGUUCCCCGCCUGGGGAGUACGGCCGCAAGGCUAAAACUCAAAGGAAUUGACGGGGGCCCGCACAAGCGGCGGAGCAUGCGGAUUAAUUCGAUGCAACGCGAAGAACCUUACCAAGGCUUGACAUAUACCGGAAACGUCCAGAGAUGGUCGCCCCGC
rnacentral:rRNA from 1 species